GGGGUGGGCACGCGGCGCCCGCGCAGCCUCACUCGUGAGGACUCGGAGCGAGUUCGCUGAACCCGCUGUUAGCGGAAGGGUGGUGGUGGUGGUGGUGGUGAGGGGGACAUGUCCGCCCUGAACCUCAACCGAACCCGCCGCCGUGUCCGUCUGCACUCCAGCGACCCCCGCCACCUCGCGUGACGGCGCAACACGGAGGCAAUCACGGCGGAUGAGAGCACCAUGCCCGCCGCCACAACCUGCCUGCUGCUCGCCUCACUGUGCGCGAGCUGCGCGGGGACAGGUUUGUGGGAGCGCGUGAGUGUGGGGGACAGGCGCGCGGCAGAGCUGGUCCAGCCCAAGCGGCUCCUCCAACAGGUCCACUCCGACGAGGAGCUGCUGCACAGCCGCCUGGAGACCCGGGUCAAAAACACCCCGGAGGAGAGGCAGCAGGUUAUAUUUCACACCUCCACCUGUGGUCUUACAUUACCUUUGCUAUGGACAGCAGACAGUGGAUAUGACACAGGGCUGACCCUGAGCCGACCUUCAUCAGCGGCUCAUCUCCUGACCUCUCUGCAGAAACAGGAGCCCGGACAUGUAAAUGUAGAUGAUAAACAAACAGCGGGGCACUUUUCUGCUUCUAUGCAGUUUUUGAUUUGUGGGUAGCCCUUAAAUCCAUGGAUGAGUUUUUGUCUUUAAACAUAAAAAUCAUUUUCACAGAUUGAAAAGUUUUUGCAGUAUUUCCAUUGUUGCC
rnacentral:lncRNA from 1 species